ensembl:snRNA U6 U6 spliceosomal RNA
GUGCUUGCUUCAACAGAACAUAUACUAAAAUUGGAACAAUACAGAGAAGAUUAUUAGCAUAGACUCUGCACAAGGAUGACACACAAAUUCAUGAAGCAUUCCAUAUUUUA